rnacentral:rRNA from 1 species
CUUGCUUCUCUUGAGAGCGGCGGACGGGUGAGUAAUGCCUAGGAAUCUGCCUGGUAGUGGGGGAUAACGUCCGGAAACGGACGCUAAUACCGCAUACGUCCUACGGGAGAAAGCAGGGGACCUUCGGGCCUUGCGCUAUCAGAUGAGCCUAGGUCGGAUUAGCUAGUUGGUGGGGUAAUGGCUCACCAAGGCGACGAUCCGUAACUGGUCUGAGAGGAUGAUCAGUCACACUGGAACUGAGACACGGUCCAGACUCCUACGGGAGGCAGCAGUGGGGAAUAUUGGACAAUGGGCGAAAGCCUGAUCCAGCCAUGCCGCGUGUGUGAAGAAGGUCUUCGGAUUGUAAAGCACUUUAAGUUGGGAGGAAGGGCAGUAAAUUAAUACUUUGCUGUUUUGACGUUACCGACAGAAUAAGCACCGGCUAACUCUGUGCCAGCAGCCGCGGUAAUACAGAGGGUGCAAGCGUUAAUCGGAAUUACUGGGCGUAAAGCGCGCGUAGGUGGUUCGUUAAGUUGGAUGUGAAAUCCCCGGGCUCAACCUGGGAACUGCAUUCAAAACUGACGAGCUAGAGUAUGGUAGAGGGUGGUGGAAUUUCCUGUGUAGCGGUGAAAUGCGUAGAUAUAGGAAGGAACACCAGUGGCGAACGCGACCACCUGGACUGAUACUGACACUGAGGUGCGAAAGCGUGGGGAGCAAACAGG